rnacentral:rRNA from 1 species
UUUGACGUUAGCGGCGGACGGGUGAGUAACACGUGGGUAACCUACCUAUAAGACUGGGAUAACUUCGGGAAACCGGAGCUAAUACCGGAUAAUAUUUCGAACCGCAUGGUUCGAUAGUGAAAGAUGGUUUUGCUAUCACUUAUAGAUGGACCCGCGCCGUAUUAGCUAGUUGGUAAGGUAACGGCUUACCAAGGCGACGAUACGUAGCCGACCUGAGAGGGUGAUCGGCCACACUGGAACUGAGACACGGUCCAGACUCCUACGGGAGGCAGCAGUG